rnacentral:rRNA from 1 species
UAUCUACAGGCUUAACGCAUGCAAGUCGAGGGGCAGCAUUUUAGUUUGCUUGCAAACUAAAGAUGGCGACCGGCGCACGGGUGAGUAACACGUAUCCAACCUGCCGAUAACUCGGGGAUAGCCUUUCGAAAGAAAGAUUAAUAUCCGAUAGUAUAUUAAAACCGCAUGGUUUUACUAUUAAAGAAUUUCGGUUAUCGAUGGGGAUGCGUUCCAUUAGUUUGUUGGCGGGGUAACGGCCCACCAAGACUACGAUGGAUAGGGGUUCUGAGAGGAAGGUCCCCCACAUUGGAACUGAGACACGGUCCAAACUCCUACGGGAGGCAGCAGUGAGGAAUAUUGGUCAAUGGACGAGAGUCUGAACCAGCCAAGUAGCGUGAAGGAUGACUGCCCCAUGGGUUGUAAACUUCUUUUAUAUGGGAAUAAAGUAUUCCACGUGUGGGAUUUUGUAUGUACCAUAUGAAUAAGGAUCGGCUAACUCCGUGCCAGCAGCCGCGGUAAUACGGAGGAUCCGAGCGUUAUCCGGAUUUAUUGGGUUUAAAGGGAGCGUAGGUGGAUUGUUAAGUCAGUUGUGAAAGUUUGCGGCUCAACCGUAAAAUUGCAGUUGAAACUGGCAGUCUUGAGUACAGUAGAGGUGGGCGGAAUUCGUGGUGUAGCGGUGAAAUGCUUAGAUAUCACGAAGAACUCCGAUUGCGAAGGCAGCUCACUAGACUGCAACUGACACUGAUGCUCGAAAGUGUGGGUAUCAAACAGGAUUAGAUACCCUGGUAGUCCACACAGUAAACGACGAAUACUCGCUGUUUGCGAUAUACAGUAAGCGGCCAAGCGAAAGCAUUAAGUAUUCCACCUGGGGAGUACGCCGGCAACGGUGAAACUCAAAGGAAUUGACGGGGGCCCGCACAAGCGGAGGAACAUGUGGUUUAAUUCGAUGAUACGCGAGGAACCUUACCCGGGCUUAAAUUGCAUUUGAAUAAUCUGGAAACAGGUUAGCCGCAAGGCAAAUGUGAAGGUGCUGCAUGGUUGUCGUCAGCUCGUGCCGUGAGGUGUCGGCUUAAGUGCCAUAACGAGCGCAACCCUUAUCUUUAGUUACUAACAGGUCAUGCUGAGGACUCUAGAGAGACUGCCGUCGUAAGAUGUGAGGAAGGUGGGGAUGACGUCAAAUCAGCACGGCCCUUACGUCCGGGGCUACACACGUGUUACAAUGGGGGGUACAGAAGGCAGCUACCUGGCGACAGGAUGCUAAUCCCAAAAACCUCUCUCAGUUCGGAUCGAAGUCUGCAACCCGACUUCGUGAAGCUGGAUUCGCUAGUAAUCGCGCAUCAGCCAUGGCGCGGUGAAUACGUUCCCGGGCCUUGUACACACCGCCCGUCAAGCCAUGAAAGCCGGGGGUACCUGAAGUACGUAACCGCAAGGAGCGUCCUAGGGUAAAACUGGUAAUUG